UACGUAGGGUGCGAGCGUUUGUCCGGAAUUAUUAGGGCGUAAAGGCUCGUAGGCGGUUUGUCGCGUCGGGAGUGAAAACCUCGGGCUUAACUCCGGGCCUGCAGCCGAUACGGGCAGACUAGAGUUCGGCAGGGGAGACGUGGAAUUCCUGGAUGUAGCGGGUGAAAUGACGCAGAUAUCAGGAGGAACACCGGUGGCGAAGGCGGGUCUCUGGGCCGAUACUGACGUGAGGAGCGAAAAGCGUGGGGGAGCGAAACAGG
rnacentral:rRNA from 1 species